GUCACAAACUCCUGAUGGUGGCCAUGUUUUAAGGCUGGUCAAUGGACAGCGGGACCUUGACCUAGAACUCAUGGAGCGGGUGUCGGCUACAUAUUUACACGAAUCCCCGCUCUCAGUAUGGUUGUCCCGGCCGUUCGGGAAACGAACGGAGACCGUCCGGAAGGGGGUACUUAACCUGCGGUUAACCGCAAGAUCAACAUUCUAAUUGAGGCCACACACCAGAAUGUAGGUGCUCCUCGUUCGUGAGUCUUUUGGUAGUUUUCCCUUCGGUGAAAUGUAUCCGAAUGUGGAUACUCUGCGACCGUCAAUUAGUUUGAUUGUAGGGUAGUUGGUUAUUCGGUACUUUCAGAGGUGACCAGGGUUAAGUGGCGGCACACGCCAAGGGCUGGGUGGUCCGUCGUUCGUAUAUACGAAUGUGUAGUUAUAACGGUUCGUGGAGUGAGUUCGUACAGUCUGAAUCCCGAACAUAGUAUGGGUUUUAACAAAAGGGGGUUACUUUAUAACAAUUUGGAGGGUUCUUGUAACAGGCCACAUGCCAGAAUGUAGGUGGUCCUCGUUCGUGAGUCUUUCGGUAGUUUCCCCUUCUGUGAAAUGUAUCCGAACGUGGAUGCCCUGCGACCGUCAAUUAGUUUAUGGUUAAUCGCAGACCGCAGCUCCUUUGGUGAUUAAUUGGAGGCACACUCUACUCGUAGGGUGGUCGGUUAUUCGGUACUUUCAGAGGUGACCGGGGUUAAGUGGCGGCACACGCCAAGGGCUGGGUGGUCCGUCGUUCGUAUAUACGAAUGUGUAGUUAUAACGGUUCAUGGAGUGAAUUCGUACAGUCUGAAUCCCGAACAUAGUAUGGGUUUUAACAAAAGGGGGUUACUUUAUAACAGUUUGGAGGGUUCUUGUAACAAGGUAUAAGAUCUAGACAGAGAGAUUCAACAUGGCAUUCUCCAAUAUGCAGACUGAUGGGUUCUGUCUUAUGACAGAUGGCGCCUAUCUUUAUGGUAUUUUUAUCUAAAACAUAUAGCAGCAGCGGGUAGGACUUCUUCCAAAUGGGUGUAUUCAUGGUGUGUGCUGUGGUUAUAUCUAGGAAACAUCCAC